GAACAUGGGUGGCCAUUUGAAUGCGUACACCUCCAGGGAGCAGACUACGUAUUAUGCCAAGGUCUUGGACAAGGAUGUGCCCAAGGCUUUGGAUAUUUUGGCUGACAUCUUGCAGAAUUCGAAGUUCGAUGAGCACCGGAUUAGUCGUGAACGUGAUGUGAUUUUGAGAGAAAUGGAGGAGGUUGAGGGGCAAACCGAAGAAGUUAUCUUUGACCAUUUGCACGCAACUGCAUUCCAGUAUACUCCCCUUGGUAGAACCAUUCUUGGACCUGCUCAAAAUAUCAGGACAAUUACCAAGGAUCAUCUUCAAAGUUAUAUUCAAACUCAUUAUACGGCCCCAAGAAUGGUUAUUGCUGCUUCUGGAGCUGUUAAGCAUGAGGAUUUCGUUGAGCAAGUAAAGAAAUUGUUCACGAAGUUGUCAGCAGAGCCAACCACAGCUGCUCAGCUGGUUGCAAAGGAGCCAGCAAUUUUUACUGGUUCUGAGGUUAGAAUAAUUGAUGACGAUGUCCCUUUGGCUCAAUUUGCUAUUGCUU
rnacentral:misc_RNA from 1 species